GAGGCAGGCUUUGCCUUUUCUGGUAGUUAAAGCCACGGACAGAACAAGCAGGAAUUCUUCAUGCUGCAGAGGGGCUGAGAUAUAAACCAGACACUAGAAGUUGAUAUAUGACGAGAAGGGAGACAGUGCUGUCCAUGGACUAAACUUCAGCUACUGUGAGAAAGUGAGGAGAAUCUUUUGGGCAUCAUGGACGAUGACUUUGACCGCCGCAUGGAGCUGAGGAGGCAGAGGAGAGAGCAGAUGCGCCUCGACGCUGACAAUGUGGGUUACGCCAACGAUGAUGAUGAUGAUGAGGAAGCACGGGAGCGACGGAGACGUGCGAGGGAAGAGAGAAAGAAGAUGAGGGACUCAGAGGACUCUAGUACCAUUGAUGUGAUCAACACUAACAGUGUCACAGAGACUGGGUCCGAGUCCUCCGCCACCACCACUGGUGCUGGAGGUGCAGAUGAUGACCAGGCUUUGCUGGAGCGCCUGGCCAAGAGGGAGGAGCGGAGGCAGAAGAGAAUGAAGGAGGCCAUGGAGAGACAGAAGGAGUUCGACCCCACCAUCAGCACCAACGGCACAGACGGCACACUGGAGGAGCAGUCCUCCAUCAGCAGCAGCAGACAGCGACACACAGAGGAAGAAGAGGAGAAGAAGGAGGAGAAUCCUGCCCAGGAGGAGGUGGCAAACUCCUGGAGGAAAGAGGAAGAAGAGAAGAAGGAAGAAGAGAAGGAAUCUGUUGAGGAGUCAAGAACACCAACCACAAGAAAUGAGGAGGAGGCUGAGGUUGAUGUAGGGAAGAAAGAUGCUGCUGAGGAAGCUGUUGACAAGGAGGAGGAAGAAAGGAAGAGGAAAGAAGAAGAGGAAAAACAGCAGAAAGAAAUGGAUGAAAAGCUAAGGAUAGAAGAGGAGGAGAGGCAAAAAAGGGAAAUGGAAAAGCGAAAGAGAGAGGAAGAAGAAAGGCAGCUGAAGGAGGCGGAGGAAAGGAAGAAGAGGGAAGAGGAACAACAACAACAAAAGCAAAAUGAAGAGAGGCAGAAAAAGGAGGAAGAAGAAAAACAGAAAAAAGAGAUGGAGGAAAAAAUUAAAAAAGAAGAAGAGGAAAAACAGAAAAGGGAAAUGGCAGAAAAGAAGAAGAAAGAGGAGGAGGAAAAACGAAAGAAAGAAAUGGAGGAGAAAAAGAAAAAGGAGGAGGAGGAAAAGAAGAUGAAGAAAGGUCUAGAGGAAAAGAAGAAGAAAGAAGAGGAGGAGAGACGGAAAAAGGAGACGGAGGAAAAGAAGAAAGAAGAGGAGGAAAAGCGGAAAAAGGAGGCUGAGGAGAAAAAGAAAAAAGAGGAAGAGGAUAAACGCAAAAAGCGAGAGAUGGAAGAAAAGAAGAAGAAAGAGGAGGAGGAGAAGCCAAAGAGAUUUGGUUUUAAGGAAAAGAACGAACCAACCAAACAGAACGGAGCUUUCGCUGAGAAUAAGCUUAAGAAGACGGACAAGACAUCAAGCAGGGACAGCACUCCCUCCACUAAGGCAGAUGACGUGGAGCGACAGGAGGCCGAACGUAAGCUGCAGGAGCUGAAGCGCCGGCGAAAUGACGCAGAGAGCGAGGAGUUUGAGAAGAUGAAGCAGAAGCAGCAGGACGCAGAGGCCGAGCUGGAGGACCUGAAGAGGAAGAGAGAGGAGAGGAGGAAGAUCCUGGAGGAGGAGGAGAAGCAGAAGAAACAGGAGAUGGAGGACAAGAAAACCAAAGAGCAGGAGGAGAGGAAGAGGAUGAGGGAGGAGAUAGAGAAGAGGAGGGCAGAGGCUGCAGAGAAGAAGAAACAGAAAGAGGAAGACACCGGAAAACCUGUGUUUGCUAUCAGUCCCAAAGGCUCCUCCAAGAUCGGGGCGAAAGCAGAAUUCUUGAGCAAAUCAGCCCAGAAAAGCACCGCAGCCAGAGGGUCACACACUCCAAUUGUCUCCAAGAUAGGCAACAGACUAGAACAGUACACUUCUGCCCUCCAGGGAAACAAAGAAGCCAAAUCCCCCAAAUCUGCAAUGGCAGAUAUUCCUACAGGAGGCACGCGUAGCAUCAAGAGCAUGUGGGAGAAGGGCAACGUCGGUGGCUCCUCUGAAAGCCCGGCCCCUGCCAACAAGGAUGUUGUGGCUGGUAUCAAAGGAGGUGUGGCUGGACGUGUCAACAGUUGGAUGGCAAAGCCUGCAGAGGCAGAGAAGACAACACCGGCACCAGAAGCAGCAUCACCAGCAGCAGCAAAGCCGGCAGAUGUGAAACCAGGUGACGCUGGUAACAAGCGUGGCAUGUGGGAAACCAAGAAGGGCUCUGCGCCUGCCAAGUCUACCUAAUAGAUGAGUGAGAGAGGUGGCAGUUGGAGGAAAGAGCAAGUUUGUCACAAAUGCAGGUGUAAGACCGUAACCAUUGACAUCCCCCUUUAAAUCAAACCUUACCUGAAGGCUCUGCUACUGUGUGUGCAUCCAUAUCCCUUCAACACACCUGUGUUUUGUGAGAAGUUCACACCAGAAUGAGGAAAAGACGAGGGACCAUGAUGAGUGACGUUAAAGGAUUCCACCAUCAAAGUUUUCCAGCUUUAUUUUUUAUCACCAACCUUUGUCCACGCAUACAAAAGUAAAAAGAUAUUCAUGUUUAUCCAUGAGACUUGACUUAUAUAUUUUUUAUAAGAAAUUCAAAGAUGUCAUUCCUAAUAAGGUAUGUUAAACCACGUUAAAUGGUUAAUAGUUAAGGUAGUAGAUUGUGUAGUAUCCAUCUGGUUAGUCCUCGAUUUUUUUCCAUUCACAAAGUUGAAAUAGCAGCUUUAGCAAAUUUCAGAUAGCUGUCAGGAUGCUUCAAUGUUAUGUUUCUUUCAAGCCACACCGACAUGUCCACAUGUCCACUCUUCCUGUGACGCAUUUGGGCUUUGAUGUUAUUGUUAUACAGCAUAUACCCAAUAAUAAGCAUAAUACACUCACUGCUUUUUGGGAUGAUAGUCACCGUUUUGACUCCAUAGAAAGUACAGUAUACUGCCACUCAGCUGGAGGUUGGGUAAUUAGCCUGUACAUAUUUAGUUUGUUUCAUUAGUUUGUACCACUUUCUCAUGAGGGACUCUUUAAAGAAGGUUUAUAAAUAGCAAGUAAUGCCUUUUGUAGUGGUUAAUAAAUCACUGACUUGUUUUAUAGAUCUGUUCUAAGUCAUUAAGUCGUGAAGAUUCUCUGGCUGGUGUUUACAGUUUUAAUACCACUUUCUAAUGAGGCAUCCCUCAGGAUUUAUAACUUAUGACUUUAGUGGUUAACAAAUCAUUUACCGAUGCAUUAAGGUCAGUUAUAAGGCUGUUGGACAGUCGGUCCAUCUGUUCCAGAGUAAAGAAUCUCAACAUCUACUGCACAGAUUGUCAUGAACUUUUGUACAGACAUUCAUGGUUCCCAGAGGAUGAAGCCUGCUGACCUUGGUGAUCCCCUGAGUUUUCCUCUGGCGUCACCAUGAGGUUGAUAUUUGGGGUUCUGAGUGAAAUGUAUUGACAAUUAUUGGAUGGAUUGCCAUGAAAUUUGUCAUAAACAUUCAUGUCCUUCUCAGGAUCUUUUGUAAUGACUCUGGUGAUCCUCAAACUUUUCAUGCAGCACCAUCAUCAGGCCCACAUUUUUCAAUUUUAUUCAUUUGUCAAACACUUCGGUUUAUGAGUGAACACCAGCAAGACUAUUUGCCAUCCCAUCAUCUUCAGCUCUACUUUAAGCUUAUUGCUAAUUAGCAAAUGUUAGCAUGCUAACAAGCGACAAUGAGAUGAUGGGUGGGUGGAUUAUUGUAAAACCCUCUGCAUUUAGUGAGUUCUUAGUGGAUUACCAACAUGUAUAAAUGCAUUAUUACCAGAUACAUAUAAUAACACCAGUCAAAGGGAUUUUCUUUCUUCUCAAUAACCUACAAUUGAUCUAUAAAGCAUUUGUAAAUGACUUGUUAACUAUUAAUAAAGCUAUUGGUUUCACACAAGUGUCCUUAGACCAGAAGAUCAUAUCAGUGGCACAUUCUGGCCACGGCUGCAGCCAGAGUAACACAAUAUCUAAGCAGUUCAACAUCAUCUGUCAACAACACCUUGGCCUGUUAUCUCUUUGACUUGUGACAGUUCAAAAAUUACAUUAAUGCGUGUGCGAGCGAGUAUCCACUGUAACAACUAUUCAGUGACCAAAUGCAGCUCUGUUUAACAAGCAUGUAACAGUCUUGAUGCUUUUCUUCUCUAUCAUCAGUUUACAUGCCACUGUCAGCAGUGAGAGCUUGCAAGACAAUUUCAAUAUGCACUCUAAUAGUAAUGCCUGUAAUUAACUUUAUAUUGUAUCCUGGUAUUUCUAUCAGUCAGCAGUGCACAUGAGUUGAAUCCUGCCAAAAUGUAUUGUGAGUCUUUCAGUAUUGUUGUGGUGGAUUUGCUCUGUUUGAAUGUUUGAAGUUAUUGUUUGUGCUUGCUUCAGCAAUAAAAAAAAAGAAAAAAAAAGAA